AUGCGCCAGCUUCACAGUGCCUAUGAUCUCCCAUGGUUACUGAUCGGAGACCUCAAUGAAAUUCAAUCACUUCACGAAAAGGAAGGAGAUAACCCUCGUCCUCAACAAUAUAUGAUGGCUUUCCAGACAGCUAUUGAGGAUUGCGAGUUACGCGACCGUGGUUUUGUUGGAGACCGAUUCACAUGGCAAAUGGGAAGAAUUCGGGAAAGGCUAGACAUGGGCAUGAUUAAUGAUGCAUGGUCAGUGUUAUUCCAUGAAGCGGCUUUGGAGAAUCUGAAAUAUAAUCACAGCGAUCGUCGACCCUUACUUGUGAAUACGGAGUACUACUCGUUACCGAACCAAGCUGGUCUGGGACAACCAAGGAGGUUUGAGGCAAGGUGGCUACGCGAAAAUGGUUUAAUGAAACAAUGCUUGAUGCAUGGAAUAAAGUUGGGUGUGAUCCGACAGCAAAUAACAUUUAUACAAAGCUGA
rnacentral:rRNA from 1 species